GUACCCGUAGGAGAAGAAAACAAUUGUGAUUCCGUCAGUAGUGGCGAGCGAACGCGGAACAGGCUAAACCGCAUGCAUGGACAACCGGGUAGGGGUUGUGUGUGCGGGGUUGUGGGAUUGAUAUGUCUCAGCUCUACCUGGCUGAGGGGUAGUCAGAAAGUGUCGUGGUUAGCGGAAGUGGCCUGGGACGGCCCGCCGUAGACGGUGAGAGCCCGGUACGCGAAAACCCGGCACCUGCCUUAUAUCAACACCCGAGUAGCAGCGGGCCCGUGGAAUCUGCUGUGAAUCUGCCGGGACCACCCGGUAAGCCUAAAUACUUCUCGAUGACCGAUAGCGGAUUAGUACCGUGAGGGAAUGGUGAAAAGUACCCCGGGAGGGGAGUGAAAUAGUACCUGAAACCGUGUGCCUACAAUCCGUCAGAGCCUCCUCGUGGGGUGAUGGCGUGCCUUUUGAAGAAUGAGCCUGCGAGUCAGGGACACGUCGCGAGGUUAACCCGUGCGGGGUAGCCGCAGCGAAAGCGAGUCUGAAUAGGGCGCAUCCCCUUUGGGGUGUAGUGGCGUGUUCUGGACCCGAAGCGGAGUGAUCUACCCAUGGCCAGGGUGAAGCGCGGGUAAGACCGCGUGGAGGCCCGAACCCACUUAGGUUGAAGACUGAGGGGAUGAGCUGUGGGUAGGGGUGAAAGGCCAAUCAAACUCCGUGAUAGCUGGUUCUCCCCGAAAUGCAUUUAGGUGCAGCGUUGCGUGGUUCACCACGGAGGUAGAGCUACUGGAUGGCCGAUGGGCCCUACUAGGUUACUGACGUCAGCCAAACUCCGAAUGCCGUGGUGUAAAGCGUGGCAGUGAGACGGCGGGGGAUAAGCUCCGUACGUCGAAAGGGAAACAGCCCAGAUCGCCGGCUAAGGCCCCUAAGCGUGUGCUAAGUGGAAAAGGAUGUGUAGUCGCAGAGACAACCAGGAGGUUGGCUUAGAAGCAGCCACCCUUGAAAGAGUGCGUAAUAGCUCACUGGUCAAGUGAUUAUGCGCCGAUAAUGUAGCGGGGCUCAAGCACACCGCCGAAGCCGCGGCACAUUCAUCUUUACGGUGGAUGUGGGUAGGGGAGCGUCCCCCAUUCAGCGAAGCCUCCGGGUGACCGGUGGUGGAGGGUGGGGGAGUGAGAAUGCAGGCAUGAGUAGCGAUAAGGCAAGUGAGAACCUUGCCCGCCGUAAGACCAAGGGUUCCUGGGCCAGGCCAGUCCGCCCAGGGUGAGUCGGGACCUAAGGCGAGGCCGACAGGCGUAGUCGAUGGACAACGGGUUGAUAUUCCCGUACCCGUGUAUGGGCGUCCCUGAUGAAUCAGCGGUACUAACCACCCAAAACCGGAUCGACCAUUCCCCUUCGGGGGCGUGGCGAUUCGGGGCUGCGUGGGACCUUCGCUGGUAGUAGUCAAGCAAUGGGGUGACGCAGGAAGGCAGCCGUACCAGUCAGUGGUAAUACUGGGGCAAGCCCGUAGGGAGAGCGAUAGGCAAAUCCGUCGCUCACUAAUCCUGAGAGGUGAUGCAUAGCCGGUUGAGGCGAAUUCGGUGAUCCUCUGCUGCCAAGAAAAGCCUCUAGCGAGCACACAUACACGGCCCCGUACCCCAAACCAACACAGGUGGUCAGGUAGAGAAUACCAAGGCGUACGAGAUAACUAUGGUUAAGGAACUCGGCAAAAUGCCCCCGUAACUUCGGGAGAAGGGGGGCCGGAAUACCGUGAACACCCUUGCGGUGGGAGCGGGAUUCGGCCGCAGAAACCAGUGGGUAGCGACUGUUUACUAAAAACACAGGUCCGUGCGAAGUCGCAAGACGAUGUAUACGGACUGACGCCUGCCCGGUGCUGGAAGGUUAAGAGGACCCGUUAACCCGUAAGGGUGAAGCGGAGAAUUUAAGCCCCAGUAAACGGCGGUGGU
rnacentral:rRNA from 1 species